UACGGGGGGAGCAAGCGUUGUUCGGAUUUACUGGGCGUAAAGGGCGCGUAGGCGGCCAGUGCAAGUCAGUUGUGAAAUCUCCGAGCUUAACUCGGAAAGGUCAACUGAUACUGCUCGGCUAGAGUGCGGAAGGGGCAACUGGAAUUCUUGGUGUAGCGGUGAAAUGCGUAGAUAUCAAGAGGAACACCGGUGGCGAAGGCGGCCACCUGGACGGAUACUGACGCUGAGACGCGAAAGCGUGGGUAGCAAACAGG
rnacentral:rRNA from 1 species